rnacentral:rRNA from 1 species
UGGGGAAUAUUGCACAAUGGGCGAAAGCCUGAUGCAGCGACGCCGCGUGAGGGAUGACGGCCUUCGGGUUGUAAACCUCUUUCAGCAGGGAAGAAGCGAAAGUGACGGUACCUGCAGAAGAAGCGCCGGCUAACUACGUGCCAGCAGCCGCGGUAAUACGUAGGGCGCAAGCGUUGUCCGGAAUUAUUGGGCGUAAAGAGCUCGUAGGCGGUUAGUCGCGUCUGCUGUGAAAACUCGAGGCUCAACCUCGGGCUUGCAGUGGGUACGGGCUGACUAGAGUGCAGUAGGGGUGACUGGAAUUCCUGGUGUAGCGGUGGAAUGCGCAGAUAUCAGGAGGAACACCGAUGGCGAAGGCAGGUCACUGGGCCGCAACUGACGCUGAGGAGCGAAAGCAUGGGGAGCGAACAGGAUUAGAUACCCUGGUAGUCCAUGCCGUAAACGUUGGGCACUAGGUGUGGGUCCAUUCCACGGAUUCCGUGCCGCAGCAAACGCAUUAAGUGCCCCGCCUGGGGAGUACGGCCGCAAGGCUAAAACUCAAAGGAAUUGAC